rnacentral:rRNA from 1 species
UACGGAAGGGGCAAGCGUUGUUCGGAAUCAUUGGGCGUAAAGGGCGCGUAGGUGGUUCUGUAUGUCUACCGUGAAAGCGUACGGACUCAACCGUAUUUUGUCGGUGGAAACUGCAGGACUUGAGGCUGGGAGGGGCUGGUGGAAUUCCCUGUGUAGCGGUGAAAUGCGUAGAGAUGGGGGAGAACACUCGUGGCGAAGGCGGCCAGCUAGACCAAGGUUCUGACACUGAGGCGCGACAGCGUGGGGAGCAAACAGG